GAGAAUCCUCUGGUGGUACGUCAAUCCAACCGGUAGCUUCGAGCAUUGCACGGAGAUGUGUAAGAAAAGUUCUUCGCCUUGAGCGUUUACUUCAGGUGAAUGUGCAACACCAGUUAGAUGAAUAAAGUCUCAGACAACGAAGACCACGAGAAGAAGGUAGCUGCAAAGACCUUCUCCCUGAAGAAACCUGGUGGACCUAGGGAACAGAAGAUGAGGGAUUUGUAGACCUCCAGGUUUUACUUUUUCCUGAUUACUAUUCCAGGCUAGGAGAGACCACGGCUAUGGAGACCAGGGGCUGAAAAACGAAAUUCUGGAUGUUAGCAGAAAUGGUGGAGAUUAGACAAGAAAAUAAGAAGAAGAUGCGAAGGGGAGAGGUUCUCUAUUUCAUGGGAUCCUUGGUCAGUUUCUUUUUUGAGAUCGAAGACUAGCCUUGACCCUGGACUCUAAGGCCUCAUUUCCCCUCCCAGUUCUCCCAUCAGCGCUUGACUGAGUACCACUCAUCCCAACCCCACAGGACCUAAGUGUAUAGCCUUAUAGUCUACUAU